rnacentral:rRNA from 1 species
UACGUAGGGGCCUAGCGUUGUCCGGAUUUAUUGGGCGUAAAGAGCUCGUAGGCGGUUUGGUGAGUCGGGUGUGAAAUCUCCACGCUCAACGUGGAGGGGCCACCCGAUACUGCCAUGACUAGAGUCCGGUAGGGGAGUGUGGAAUUCCCGGUGUAGCGGUGAAAUGCGUAGAUAUCGAUCGGAACACCCGUGGCGAAGGCGGCUUGCUGGCUCGCAACUGACGCUGAGGCGCGAAAGCGUGGGGAGCAAACAGG